rnacentral:lncRNA from 1 species
CAGUUGUUGCUAAGCAGAGUAUACAGGGCACAACUGUAGCCAACUGUCUAACUGAAGAUCACGCCUGGUAUUUCUCAGUUUGCAUGGAUUAUGAGUGGGGAAAGCAAGGAUUUCCCAGUUUACUGCAGAAGCUGAUGUCAUCCAGACAGACAGGGAACCAGGGAGAAGAGCAGAGUGAGGAAAGCAGAAGGGAUGACAGGGACAGUGACCUGGAGGCAGGAGCUAACCUGUGAGCCAAGAGACUCCUGAGUUAUGGGAUCUCUCUGGUGACCCACUUCCAUCGCUCUGUAGGCCACUAGGAGUACAGUGGAUUGAAUGUACUUGGCUCAGGGAGUGAUCCCUUGAGUUCUGUCCUGUUCAAGUGUAGAGACGGCGCCUUCAGCAAGACGAGCCAUUGCUUUAUUUUUAAAGCUCGCUUAUGUCAACGCUUUCUUCCGUGACUAUGUUGGCCACGAUUAUUCAGGGUUUAUCUAGAGAUGGAAACUUAAAAUGUAUACUUGCCAGAUGUCUUCUUCAAUCUCAGCACAACAACAAAAAGAACCCUUCACAGCAACAUCCAGCAAAUUACCUUUUAAUUGAGUCCCUUGAUUCAAGUCUUUAGAGAAGUAAUCCUGCCUUCUGCAUUCACUGGCCUCUAGAAAUACUGAGAGGAGGCAGAAGAUGACCAGAGAAGACCAUCCACAGGCCAGAGUACCUAAUACCUAGUGAAACAGAAGCAAAAUUUAAAAAUAUUAUU